GGAGAGUGUAUAAGGUUACCCUUCUAAGGUAGUUAAGGUUAUAUAAUUAACCAACUCUUUG
rnacentral:tRNA from 1 species